rnacentral:rRNA from 1 species
AUGCGGAGGCGCUGGAGGCCGGGAUGCGCGUCCCGCCCCACGCCUUCUUCUGCGACGUGCUCGCCCAUUUCGGCAUCGCGCCGACCCAGCUCACGCCCAACGGGUGGCGCAUCUUGCGGGCUUCCUAGUGCUCUGCCACUCCGCCGGCGUGCCGCCAUCGCUCGCCGUGUCCCGGCACUUCUUCCUGAUGUGCGAACUCAGCCACAAGCACAAGGGGUGCUACUUCUUCCGCUCCAGGGACACCUCUGGCCUGCGCUUCAGGGGGAUGCCAAGUUGCAUCAAGGACUGGAAGAACUCGUUCUUCUUCCUCUCGUCGCCGGAGCCGUGGCCUUUCCCCGUGGAGUGGGGCAAGCCGUCCAAGAGCUCUUUCAUGGAGCUGGUACUUAA